GGCAGAGUUGUGGUAGACUCUAAGCGUAGUAAUUUGUUCUCGCUUCUGAAGCUGCCGCGGCUAUCGCCACAAACCUUUUAUCUUCCAGUGGUUGACCUCGGAUCAGGUAGGAAUACCCGCUGAACUUAAGCAUAUCAAUAAGCGGAGGAAAAGAAACCAACAGGGAUUGCCCUAGUAACGGCGAGUGAAGCGGCAACAGCUCAAAUUUGAAAUCUGGCUCUCGGGCCCGAAUUGUAAUUUGUAGAGGAUGCAUUUGGCGCGGUGCCUUCUGAGUUCCCUGGAACGGGACGCCUUAGAGGGUGAGAGCCCCGUACAGUUGGACGCCUAGCCUUUGUAAUGCUCCUUCGACGAGUCGAGUAGUUUGGGAAUGCUGCUCUAAAUGGGAGGUAAAUUUCUUCUAAAGCUAAAUACCGGCCAGAGACCGAUAGCGCACAAGUAGAGUGAUCGAAAGAUGAAAAGCACUUUGAAAAGAGGGUUAAAUAGCACGUGAAAUUGUUGAAAGGGAAGCGUUUGCGACCAGACUUUUUCCUGGCGGAUCAUCUGGUGUUCUCACCGGUGCACUUCGCCUGGUUUAGGCCAGCGUCGAUUUCUGGGGGGGGAUAAAGGCUCUGGGAACGUGACUCCUCCGGGAGUGUUAUAGCCCUCUGCGUAAUACCCCCCUGGGGAUCGA
rnacentral:rRNA from 1 species